CCUGCCCCUAGAGACAUUGCAGGUGAAACUGCUGUGUCUCAUGCACAUUAGUAGGUGGUAGAGAUGAGAAGGACUACAUCUACACCGAGUGUUCUGACCUAUGAACACUUGAAUGAUUCGUGGCCUAACACU